UACGAAGGGGGCUAGCGUUGCCCGGAAUUACUGGGCGUAAAGCGCACGUAGGCGGAUUGUUAAGUCGGGGGUGAAAUCCUGGAGCUCAACUCCAGAACUGCCUUCGAUACUGGCGAUCUCGAGUUCGGGAGAGGUGAGUGGAACUGCGAGUGUAGAGGUGAAAUUCGUAGAUAUUCGCAAGAACACCAGUGGCGAAGGCGGCUCACUGGCCCGAUACUGACGCUGAGGUGCGAAAGCGUGGGGAGCAAACAGG
rnacentral:rRNA from 1 species